CAGCCGCCGCGGUAAUACGAAGGGUGCAAGCGUUAAUCGGAAUUACUGGGUGUAAAGCGUGCGUAGGCGGUGAGUUAAGUCUGCUGUGAAAUCCCCGGGCUCAACCUGGGAAUGGCAGUGGAUACUGGCUCGCUAGAGUGUGUCAGAGGAUGGUGGAAUUCCCGGUGUAGCGGUGAAAUGCGUAGAGAUCGGGAGGAACAUCUGUGGCGAAGGCGGCCAUCUGGGACAACACUGACGCUGAGGCACGAAAGCGUGGGGAGCAAACAGGAUUAGAUACCCGCGUAGUCCCUGUCUCUUAUAC
rnacentral:rRNA from 1 species